ACAGGUUUGAGGCCAUGGCAGAAGUGCUUACAGUGUAGCCUUGUCAGAUUCUGACAAAUCUGCAAAUUCUGCU
rnacentral:ribozyme from 1 species